GGAUAGGUCGAAUAGUCACAAUCGCAACAUUCAGAACCUACGCGAAUAUGGUUACUGUAUAAUUCAUCCCUUUUGACCCCUGUGUAUAGGACGACUCAGGGUUAAACUGUCAACCCUGAUCAGAUCAUCCGAAUCAUGCUCAACUCAAACAGUCCUGUGACUCUUCACUAGGACUACCAUAGCCAAAGUUUUGCUAAAUUAAAACACAACCGUACACAGCUCCUGAACUGGAGUGGUCAAUCCCAUCUUGACACACGCACUGACAAGUCAAGUACUUGACUACACCCAACAACCUUUCAUCACUGAAUUAGAAAUACAGGUAGUCCAGUGCCUAAGUGCAGUGAGUUGCUUGCAAGUCAUUGUGGCGGUCU
rnacentral:lncRNA from 1 species